GCUGGGCAUAGUGGCGUGUGCCUGUAAUCCCAGCUACCUGGGAGGCUGAGGCAGGAGAAUCUCUUGAACCCAGGAGGUAGAGGCUACAGUGAGCCGAGAUGGUGCCACUGCAGUCUAGCCUGGGUGACAGAGUGAGACUCUGUCUCAA
ensembl:misc_RNA Metazoa_SRP Metazoan signal recognition particle RNA